CCCACUUCCAGGCUCCACCAUUCUUUUGCCUUUAAUUCGACCCUACUACAUCUCUGUCUCUGUAUCUCUAUGGUAUAUAAGCAUAAUGCCUCCCGUUCUCUGCUGUGCCUCCUUUCUGUGCGCAGCAUGCAGGCCUGCUAGGUGAGCUCUCUCACGUUGGAGAAGCAGGGCACGUGCCAAGGCCCACCUUCUCCCCUUCAGGCCUCUCUCUUCUGUGUGGACUCUCGCACGUGCUCCCCUUCUCCAACAUGGUGCCCUCUCCUCCACUCCCAACCUCCUCCUCUUCUCAGUGGCUUCCAUGUCCCUUCCAUGAGCAGCAGCAUCGGCGGGAACCAGCGGAAAAGAUUUAAUAGCUUUAAGGAGGAUCCACAUACACCCCAUUAAGGAGGUUCGAGGUUCUGGGAAUUUGAGAUGUCUCUCUCUCUCUCUCUCUCUCUCUCUCUGAGAAAGAGAGAGAGAGAGAUGGUAAUGACGCAACAUGGUGCCGUUUUUGCAUCAUCCCAUUACGGCGGCACGUGUAGCGUGUUCGUGCGGAAGGCCUCCCUCUAGCGAAGGGUGACAUAAGCGCAAGAGCACACAAAAAUGUACAGAGAGAGAGAGAGAGAGAGAGCAUAACAACAAAAUAGUGGAGCUCACUGUCACAUGGCUUGGUUAAGUUCCACACCGACACUGGUGACCCCAAACGUCGGCACCAAGUUAUUCUAAUUCAAGUUUGGGAACAAUUUGGAAUCGAUGUAUGUAUGUUUUCUGUUUGGAAUGAAACUGCACUUGUUUAA